GUUGGCUGGCGAUUACGCGAUUUGCCGUGACCAGAGGACAAAUGUACGCUUCAUAUACGUUAUGAGUCGUCGCGUUAAUCGGACCGAA